rnacentral:rRNA from 4 species
GCCCGUCACACCAUGGGAGUGGGUUUUACCAGAAGUGGCUAGUCUAACCGCAAGGAGGACGGUCACCACGGUAGGAUUCAUGACUGGGGUGAAGUCGUAACAAGGUAGCCGUAUCGGAAGGUGCGGCUGGAUCACCUCCUUU